rnacentral:rRNA from 1 species
GACGAACGCUGGCGGCGUGCUUAACACAUGCAAGUCGAACGGAAAGGCCUUUUCGGAGGUACUCGAGUGGCGAACGGGUGAGUAACACGUGGGUGAUCUGCCCUGCACUCUGGGAUAAGCCUGGGAAACUGGGUCUAAUACCGGAUAGGACCGCACUUUAGUGUGUGUGGUGGAAAGUUUUUUCGGUGUAGGAUGAGCCCGCGGCCUAUCAGCUUGUUGGUGGGGUAAUGGCCUACCAAGGCGGCGACGGGUAGCCGGACUGAGAGGUUGGUCGGCCACAUUGGGACUGAGAUACGGCCCAGACUCCUACGGGAGGCAGCAGUGGGGAAUAUUGCACAAUGGGCGCAAGCCUGAUGCAGCGACGCCGCGUGGGGGAUGACGGCCUUCGUGUUGUAAACUCCUUUCGCCAGGGACGAAGCGUUUUGUGACGGUACCUGGAGAAGAAGCACCGGCUAACUACGUG